GGUUCAAGUCCUGUUUUUCUAA
rnacentral:tRNA from 1 species